UACGUAGGGACCGAGCGUUGUCCGGAAUCAUUGGGCGUAAAGAGCGUGUAGGCGGCCACUUAAGUCCUGCGUGAAAUCUUGCGGCUCAACCGCAAGCGGUCGUGGGAAACUGGGUGGCUAGAGUGCGGGAGAGGAGAGUGGAAUUCCUGGUGUAGCGGUGAAAUGCGCAGAUAUCGGGAGGAACACCGGUGGCGAAGGCGGGUCUCUGGGCCGAUACUGACGCUGAGGAGCGAAAGCGUGGGGAGCGAACAGG
rnacentral:rRNA from 1 species